rnacentral:rRNA from 1 species
AUUGAACGCUGGCGGCAUGCUUUACACAUGCAAGUCGAACGGUAACAGGGUGCUUGCACCGCUGACGAGUGGCGAACGGGUGAGUAAUGCGUCGGAACGUGCCGAGUAGUGGGGGAUAACGCAGCGAAAGUUGUGCUAAUACCGCAUACGUACUGAGGUAGAAAGUGGGGGACCUUCGGGCCUCACGCUAUUCGAGCGGCCGACGUCUGAUUAGCUAGUAGGUGAGGUAAAGGCUCACCUAGGCGACGAUCAGUAGCGGGUCUGAGAGGAUGAUCCGCCACACUGGGACUGAGACACGGCACAAACGCCUGCGGGAGGCAGCAGUGGGGAAUGUUGGACAAGGGGCGAAAGCCUGAUCCAGCCAUGCCGCGUGUCUGAAGAAGGCCUUCGGGUUGUAAAGGACUUUUGUCAGGGAGGAAAUCCCUAGUGCUAAUAACACUGGGGGAUGACAGUACCUGAAGAAUAAGCACCGGCUAACUACGUGCCAGCCGCCGCCGUAA